UAUAAAUGAUGCUGCCUGAGUUGGA
rnacentral:piRNA from 1 species